AUGGCUCACAACGCGGCCGCCGCAGUUGAUCACGGCGAAGGCAUCCGGACGUCGUCGAGGUGCGUCGUGGAUGGCGCGACACACGAUUUCGUGGUGAUCAACUACCCGCUGCUGGAUGGCAUGUGCAUCCGAAACCGCGUAACCUCCAGCGCGUUCAGGGUCGGCGGCUACGAUUGGAGCAUCAUGUUCUACCCGGACGGAGCGGAAGUAGCCGGCUACGCGUCAGUCUACUUGUGUUGUCUCAGCCAGGCCAAGGACGGGGUGGGGACAAGCUUCACCUUAACCAUGCUGGACGAUCAAGGCAACGUACAUGCAACCAGGCAGAUACCUGGAUUCAUCUUCGGUGAGAAGGAAACCUGGGGCUUUUCCGACUUUGUCGAGAAAUCGAAGCUGAGAUCGUCAUGUAUCCUAACGAUAAGGUGUGUGCUCGCUGUGGUCAAAGAACCACCCUCGGAGUGCAAGGGCAAUCUUAUCGUGGACCCUCCGCCGGAGCUGCCCGGCCGCCUCCACCGCGCCCUCAAGAACGGGAGAGGCACCGACAUCAGGGUCCUCGUGGGGGGCAGGGAGUUCAGAGCGCACAAGUUCAUGCUGGCCGCGCAGUCGCCGGUCUUCGAAGCUCAGCUCUUUGGCCCGAUGGCGCAGAAGGACAUGCGGCGGAUCAUGGUUGUCGACAUGGAGCCGGCCAUCUUCGAGAUGCUUCUUCACUACGUCUACACGGAUUCACUGCCGCCGUGUGGCAAAGACAAUUACGAUACAGCCAGGAUGCAGCAUUUGCUAGUCGCCGCGGACCGGUACGGGCUGGAGAGGUUGAAGGUGAUGUGCGAAAAGAGGCUGUGGGAAAACAUCAACGCGAGCACAGUCAUGAGCACAUUGGCACUAGCAACUCACCACUACUGUGACCAGCUCAAGGAAGCAUGCUUAAAGUUUAUGUCAUCGUCGCAGGAAGUCAUGGAUGCAGUCGUGGUAACCGACGGAUUCCAACACCUCAUGGCAACUUGUCCCAUGCUAGUUUUGAAGCACACCGGGGAAAAAGUAACCAUCAAGAGGAAGUAA
rnacentral:rRNA from 1 species